AGAUUGAACGCUGGCGGCAGGCCUAACACAUGCAAGUCGAGCGGCAGCACGGGUACUUGUACCUGGUGGCGAGCGGCGGACGGGUGAGUAAUGCCUAGGAAUCUGCCUGAUAGUGGGGGAUAACGCUCGGAAACGGACGCUAAUACCGCAUACGUCCUACGGGAGAAAGCAGGGGACCUUCGGGCCUUGCGCUAUCAGAUGAGCCUAGGUCGGAUUAGCUAGUUGGUGGGUAAUGGCUCACCAAGGCGACGAUCCGUAACUGGUCUGAGAGGAUGAUCAGUCACACUGGAACUGAGACACGGUCCAGACUCCGUACGGGAGGCAGCAGUGGGGAAUAGUUGGACAAGUGGGACGAAAGCCGUGAUCCAGCAUGCCGCGUGUGUGAAGAAGGUCUUCGGAUUGUAAAGCACUUUAAGUUGGAGGAGGCUAGUUACCAAUACGUAUUCUAGUUUAGACUUAACCGAUAGAAUAAGACACCGG
rnacentral:rRNA from 1 species